ACUCAAAUGAAUUGACGGGGGCCCGCACAAGCGGCGGAGCAUGUUCCUUAAUUCGAUGCGACGCGAAGAACCUUACCAGGGCUUGACAUGUAGGGAAAAGCCGCAGAGAUGCGGUGUCCGCAAGGGCCCUACACAGGUGUUGCAUGGCUGUCGUCAGCUCGUGUCGUGAGAUGUUGGGUUAAGUCCCGCAACGAGCGCAACCCUUGUCCUAUGUUGCCAGCGGUUCAAGCCGGGGACUCAUAGGAGACUGCCGGGGUCAACUCGGAGGAAGGUGGGGACGACGUCAAGUCAUCAUGGCCCUUAUGUCCUGGGCUGGAAACAUGCUACAAUGGCCGGUACAGAGGGCUGCAAACCCGCGAGGGGGAGCCAAUCCCAAAAAGCCGGUCUCAGUUCGGAUCGGGGUCUGCAACUCGACCCCGUGAAGUCGGAGUCGCUAGUAAUCGCGAAUCAGCAACGUCGCGGUGAAUACGUUCCCGGGCCUUGUACACACCGCCCGU
rnacentral:rRNA from 1 species